rnacentral:lncRNA from 1 species
AGACACCCUGCGUCCCUCCCUUGCUCGCAGCAGUUGCUGUGGCGGUCCUCCCGUGCACCCCCCCUUCUGCCCUCACUGCCCCUGGGGGUCCUCAUCACGGACCCCCUAACUCGGCAUCCUGGACACCACCACCCCGCACCUUUCCACAGUGCAGCUCUGCUCGUGCCUGUGAAGCCUCCCACAGCCUGGGAAGGAAAAUCCAGACUUGCCAGACCUUGCCUCAGCCAGGCCUUGGAAGCCUGCCAGCUUACCUAACCAGACCCUCAGCCCAUGGAGUCCUGUGUGAUGUUGUGAGCGUGGGAGGACAGACUGAACUGCUCGGCCCGUGGAGUCCUGUGUGAUGUUGUGAGCGGGGAGGACAGACUGAACUGCGUGGUGCUUCGCACAUAGACCUCAACAGGGAUUGGCAUUUUGAAGCUGUUGGCGGGGGCUGUGGACUGCUUUUCUUCCUUUCUAGCUCAACGGCAGCUAAAGCCACUGCAUACAAUGCAAGGACUGGCUCCUGUUUGGCCACGACUGAUUGCAGCCCCUGGUGAAAUGAGAACCCUGUGGGUCGGAACAAAGUUUGGAUUAUUUAUGUUGCAAGUAACUAAAAUCUCAAGUGAAACUGGUUUAAACAUUAUAUUUUUAUUAUUUAUUUAUUUAUAUUUAAUUCUUUUUUAGAGACAGGGUCUUCUUAGGUUGCCCAGGCUGGUCUUGAACUCCUGGCCUCAACGAUCUUCCCACUUCAGCCUCCUGCAUUGCUGGGAUUAUAGGUGUGAGCCACCAUGCCUGGCUUACACAGUAUAAAGGGAAUGCAUUGGCCCACACAGUGGAAAAAAAUAUCUAGUAGGAAUAGGAAGGACUUCAGGAAGAGUUGGGGCUCACAGGCACACCCUCUCCCUAACUCUUCUCCCCCGGUUCAACCUGGAUCCAGGGAUCCACACUCUGCUCCGAGAGGCCAGCACGCAGCCACUGGAAAAUGAGCCAGUGGGAGAGGGCAGCUCCAUGUUUAUUGAUCAGCAGACUAUGUCUUUUUGUUUGAAACUUCUAAAUAAGAUUACAAAAAGAAAAAAAAUAGAAGCAUUGCGUAUUAACUGCAUUGGUUAACCAACAUUGGAACCCAAUACUCUUGUAUUAGGCCCGCAUUUACCUGAGUAAACUCAGUGGUUUUCUGUCCUAAGCAUGCUUGCCUGCUACAUCCCAUGGAGAAAAUAAACAGUGAAACACUUUCCUCAUCUUCAAGGCAAUUGUCUCAGGCAUCCUCCAGGCAUCAUGAAGGAGGGUGAGCGAGGGUGCGAGGUGGAAAGGUCCAGGCCGCGGCUGUGACUCCCGCGGGUGAACCACAGCUCCACAGCCCCAAAUCCAAAGAUGCUCUUGCUGCAGCACGACAAGUGUUCAAAAGAGAACCAGGCCCAGCCCGGAGAAAGGAAAGCCAAAAGCCAACUGAAUGAAUGACCCUCCCCCAGAAGAGCAACCCUGCCCCCAGGCCAUCCAAGUGCGAACAUUACCAGGUGCCAGCAGGGAAAGGACUCCGCUGCCUGACGCCUCUCCCACCUGAGAGCGCAGAGGUAGGGAGAUCACAGUGCCUGAGAGGUUUUCCUCCACGGAGAAAUCAGAGACCUCAACCUGCUGCCCUCUAAAGCAGCUUUCUGUAUCCAGACAAAACUUACAUAUGUACACGUUGUUUUAAAACGACAUACUCAUGUGACACACAUGUAUAUAAAUUCAUGUUUAUAUAUGACAAUUGAGGAGAGUUAAAGAACAAGAUAAUUCUGGAUGGAAAAAUCAGUUUGCCUGGGCAUCUGUAAACCUUUGGGCAAGUGAAUUCCCUCUUCUCUCUCAGUUCACCCUUUGGUGACCUCCACCGUGGCUGCAGACUUCAGGUGGUCCUCACGCAUUCACAGAACUGUCUGCUUAGGUUACAGCACUUUGGGAGGCCGAGGUGGGUAGAUCACGAGGUCAGGAGAUCGAGACCAUAUUGACCAACAUGGUAAAACCCCAUCUCUACUAAAAUACAAAAAUUAGCCGGGCGUGGUGGCGGGUGCCUGUAGUCCCAGCUACUUGGGAGGCUGAGGCAGGGGAAUCACUUGAACCUGGGAGGCGGAGGUUGCAGUGAACUGAGAUUGCGCCACUGCACUCCAGCCUGGGUGACAGAGACUUCCUCUCAAAAUAAAAAUAAAAAUAAUAAAAUAAUAAAUGGUUCUUUUCUAUGCGUCUAAUGAAUUUAAGUGCUUGUUAAGACUAAAAACCAUGUUAUGCAUUUCCUGCUCUUAAAACUAAAUUAUGUAGAAAGUAAGCUAGGGAGUGUA